CGAUUUAAGUUGUUCGAGGGUAGUCACUUUCUUGACAUUCGUAGCUGCCAUCUUAUUCAUCCACGACUGACGAAAGUCUUCGAACUUUGCAUAGCCGACUUCUAAAUCGAACAUAUCGUGGAUCAACUACAGACAGAAGAUAAGUCAGAUUAAAAAAAAAGAAGAAAAGAAACUUACCCCGAUUAUCAUCAGGUAAAAGGAUGAAAACAUCUUGGCCACCAUCCGUUUCUUUCGGUGCUCCCGAUCAACCAAAAAAAGAGUGGCUUGGCACAGUCGCUUGGCCAAUGUCGGAUUGGCUAGGGCUGAUUCAUCACCAGGCACUUGAAGGUCGAAGUGAACCAUCUGGCCCUCCGAUGCUGCAUCAUCCGUCGAAGUCAUCGGAGCUUUCCCUCGGUCCCUUGUCAGCGGCCCUAUGUUCGAAAGUGAGGGAAAGCUUGAACUCGACUACACCCCAGCUGAAGGAGCAACUGGCGCAGCCAUAGAUUGUUCGAGUUCUCCUGCCUCGACCCAAACCUCCUCAGUUGAUGGAACUACUGAUGGUGCUUCGGCAGUUCUCCUUGCCGCCUUUUCUUCGGACGAUGUAGCAGGG
rnacentral:lncRNA from 1 species